UACGUAGGUGACAAGCGUUGUCCGGAUUUACUGGGCGUAAAGAGCGCGCAGGCGGUCGUUCAAGUCGAGUGUGAAAGCCCCCGGCUCAACUGGGGAGGGUCACUCGAUACUGAUCGACUCGAAGGCAGGAGAGGGAAGUGGAAUUCCCGGUGUAGUGGUGAAAUGCGUAGAUAUCGGGAGGAACACCUGUGGUGUAGACGGCUCUCUGGACCGCAACUGACGCUGAGACACGAAAGCGUGGGUAGCAAACAGG
rnacentral:rRNA from 1 species